GAUGAACGCUGACGGCGUGCCUAAUACAUGCAAGUCGAGCGAACAGACGAGGAGCUUGCUCCUCUGAUGUUAGCGGCGGACGGGUGAGUAACACGUGGAUAACCUACCUAUAAGACUGGGAUAACUUCGGGAAACCGGAGCUAAUACCGGAUAACAUGUUGAACCGCAUGGUUCAACAGUGAAAGACGGUCUUGCUGUCACUUAUAGAUGGAUCCGCGCCGCAUUAGCUAGUUGGUAAGGUAACGGCUUACCAAGGCAACGAUGCGUAGCCGACCUGAGAGGGUGAUCGGCCACACUGGAACUGAGACACGGUCCAGACUCCUACGGGAGGCAGCAGUAGGGAAUCUUCCGCAAUGGGCGAAAGCCUGACGGAGCAACGCCGCGUGAGUGAAGAAGGUCUUCGGAUCGUAAAACUCUGUUAUUAGGGAAGAACAAAUGUGUAAGUAACUAUGCACGUCUUGACGGUACCUAAUCAGAAAGCCACGGCUAACUACGUG
rnacentral:rRNA from 1 species